AUGGAUAACCAAUCCAUUUUCCAAUAUAGUUGGGAGAUUUUACCCAAGAAAUGGGUACAUAAAAUGAAAAGAUCGGAACAUGGGAAUAGAUCUUAUACCAAUACUGACUACCCAUUUCCAUUGUUGUGCUUUCUAAAAUGGCAUACCUAUACAAGGGUUCAAGUUUCGAUCGAUAUUUGCGGAGUGGAUCAUCCCUCUCAAAAACGAAGAUUUGAAGUUGUCCAUAAUUUACUGAGUACUCGGUAUAACUCACGCAUUCAUGUACAAACAAGUGCAGACGAAGUAACACGAAUAUCUCCGGUAGUCAGUCUAUUUCCAUCAGCCGGCCGGUGGGAGCAAGAAGUAUGGGAUAUGUUUGGUGUUUCUUCCAUCAAUCAUCCGGAUUUACGCCGUAUAUCAACAGAUUAUGGUUUCGAGGGUCAUCCAUUACGAAAAGACUUUCCUCUGAGUGGAUAUGUGGAAGUACGCUAUGAUGAUCCAGGGAAACGUGUGGUUUCUGAACCCAUUGAAAUGACCCAAGAAUUUCGCUAUUUCGAUUUUGCUAGUCCUUGGGAACAGCGUAGCGACGGAUAA
rnacentral:rRNA from 1 species